rnacentral:rRNA from 1 species
UACGUAGGGUGCGAGCGUUAAUCGGAUUUACUGGGCGUAAAGCGUGCGCAGGCGGCCCGUUAAGACAGGUGUGAAAUCCCUGGGCUCAACCUAGGAAUUGCGCUUGUGACUGGCGGGCUCGAGUACGGUAGAGGGGGGUGGAAUUCCUGGUGUAGCAGUGAAAUGCGUAGAGAUCAGGAGGAACACCGAUGGCGAAGGCAGCCCCCUGGGCCUGUAACUGACACUGAGGCUCGAAAGCGUGGGGAGCAAACAGG